GAUGAACGCUGGCGGCGUGCCUAAUACAUGCAAGUCGAGCGAACAGAUGAGGAGCUUGCUCCUCUGACGUUAGCGGCGGACGGGUGAGUAACACGUGUAUAACCUACCUAUAAGACUGGGAUAACUUCGGGAAACCGGAGCUAAUACCGGAGAAUAUAUUGAACCGCAUGGUUCAAUAGUGAAAGACGGCUUUGCUGUCUCUUCUAGAUGGAUCCGCGCGGCAUUAGCUAGUUGUUACGUUCAUGGCUUACCAAGGCAACGAGGCGUAACCGACCGGAGAGGGGGGUCGGCCACAUGGGAACUGGGACAGGGUCAAUGCGCCUAAGGGAGGGAGCAGUAGGGUAUGGGACGCAGCGGGCGAGAGUCUGACGGAGUGACGGCGCGUGAGUGAUGAAGGUGUUCGGAGCGUAAAACUCUGUUAUGAGGGAAGAACAAAUGUGUAAGGUACUGUGCACGGCUUGACGGUACCGAAUCAGAAAGCCACGGCUAACUACGUG
rnacentral:rRNA from 1 species